AUCCCGUGGUGAAGGCAUUGCGUAAUAACUCUUUGAAUCUUUCUCAUGCCUUGUAUAAGGAUUCAUCAUCCAUUUGUUUAAAAGAAGUGAUCUCAUUCCACAACU
rfam:Gossypium hirsutum cultivar TM-1 chromosome 4, whole genome shotgun sequence